CUUGUUGAGGGUGGUAGAAUUCCAGGUGUAGCGGUGAAAUGCGUAGAGAUCUGGAGGAAUACCGGUGGCGAAGGCGGCCCCCUGGACAAAGACUGACGCUCAGGUGCGAAAGCGUGGGGAGCAAACAGGAUUAGAUACCCUGGUAGUCCACGCCGUAAACGAUGUCUACUUGGAGGUUGUGCCCUUGAGGCGUGGCUUCCGGAGCUAACGCGUUAAGUAGACCGCCUGGGGAGUACGGCCGCAAGGUUAAAACUCAAAUGAAUUGACGGGGGCCCGCACAAGCGGUGGAGCAUGUGGUUUAAUUCGAUGCAACGCGAAGAACCUUACCUGGUCUUGACAUCCACAGAACUUUCCAGAGAUGGACUGGUGCCUUCGGGAACUGUGAGACAGGUGCUGCAUGGCUGUCGUCAGCUCGUGUUGUGAAAUGUUGGGU
rnacentral:rRNA from 1 species